GUGCUCGCUUCGGCAGCACAUACCUUAAAAUUGGAACAAUACAGAGAAGAUUAGCAUGACCCCUGAGCAAGGGUGAUGUGUAAAUCUGUGAAGCAUCCCUAAUUUUA